GUGAAUCAUCGAAUCUUUGAACGCAAAUUGCACUUUCUGGUAUUCCGGAAAGUAUGCCUGUUUGAGGGUCAGUUAAAUAAAAAUAGGUGUUAUUGCUAUUAAUGGUGAUGCAUCGGAAUUGUGUGGUCUUUACGUUUGGUUUUAUGUGACUUAAAAUUAUGUACGAUUUUUGAACGUAUUUAACGUAUUUACUUAUGUUUAUGAUACUAUAUAUUAGGUGCGGUCAUCUACUUGAUUUCGAGCCUAUAAUGUUUCAUUAUUUGACUUAAAAUCAGGUAAGAAUACCUGA
rnacentral:misc_RNA from 1 species